rnacentral:rRNA from 1 species
GCAUCCUGUUAAGUCAGGCAACGAGCGAGACCCACGUCCACAGUUGCCAGCAUACCCUCCGGGGUGAUGGGUACACUGUGGAGACCGCCGCUGCUAAAGCGGAGGAAGGAGUGGGCAACGGUAGGUCAGUAUGCCCCGAAUCUCCCGGGCUACACGCGGGCUACAAUGGUUGGUACAAUGGGCAUCUACCCCGAAAGGGGAAGGAAAUCUCUUAAAGCCAAUCGUAGUUCGGAUUGAGGGCUGCAACUCGCCCUCAUGAAGCUGGAAUCCGUAGUAAUCGCGUUUCAACAGAACGCGGUGAAUACGUCCCUGCUCCUU